rnacentral:rRNA from 1 species
AGUGAACGCUGGCGGUAGGCCUAACACAUGCAAGUCGAACGGCAGCACAGUAAGAGCUUGCUCUUACGGGUGGCGAGUGGCGGACGGGUGAGGAAUACAUCGGAAUCUACUUUUUCGUGGGGGAUAACGUAGGGAAACUUACGCUAAUACCGCAUACGACCUACGGGUGAAAGCAGGGGAUCUUCGGACCUUGCGCGAUUGAAUGAGCCGAUGUCGGAUUAGCUAGUUGGCGGGGUAAAGGCCCACCAAGGCGACGAUCCGUAGCUGGUCUGAGAGGAUGAUCAGCCACACUAGAACUGAGACACGGUCCAGACGCCUACGGAAGGCAGCAGUGGGGAAUAUUGGACAAUGGGCGCAAGCCUGAUCCAGCCAUACCGCGUGGGUGAAGAAGGCCUUCGGGUUGUAAAGCCCUUUUGUUGGGAAAGAAAAGCAGCAGGUUAAUACCCCGCUGUUCUGACGGUACCCAAAGAAUAAGCACCGGCUAACUUCGUG